GAUGAACGCUGGCGGCGUGCCUAAUACAUGCAAGUCGAGCGAACAGACGAGGAGCUUGCUCCUCUGACGUUAGCGGCGGACGGGUGAGUAACACGUGGAUAACCUACCUAUAAGACUGGGAUAACUUCGGGAAACCGGAGCUAAUACCGGAUAAUAUAUUGAACCGCAUGGUUCAAUAGUGAAAGACGGUUUUGCUGUCACUUAUAGAUGGAUCCGCGCCGCAUUAGCUAGUUGGUAAGGUAACGGCUUACCAAGGCAACGAUGCGUAGCCGACCUGAGAGGGGGACCGGCCACACUGAACUGAGACACGGUCCAGACUCCUACGGGAGGCAGCAGUAGGGAAUCUUCCGCAAUGGGCGAAAGCCUGACGGAGCAACGCCGCGUGAGUGAUGAAGGUCUUCGGAUCGUAAAACUCUGUUAUUAGGGAAGAACAAAUGUGUAAGUAACUAUGCACGUCUUGACGGUACCUAAUCAGAAAGCCACGGCUAACUACGUG
rnacentral:rRNA from 1 species